AGAGUUUGAUCAUGGCUCAGGAUGAACGCUGGCGGCGUGCCUAACACAUGCAAGUCGAGCGAGAAACCAUCGAUUGAAACUUCGGUAGAUAUUGAAGGCGGAAAGCGGCGGACGGGUGAGUAACGCGUAGGCAACCUGCCCUUUGCAGAGGGAUAGCAACGGGAAACUGUUAUUAAAACCUCAUAAUACCGACAUGUCAAAUGACAAGACGGUCAAAGAUUUAUCGGCAAAGGAUGGGCCUGCGUCUGAUUAGUUAGUUGGUAGGGUAACGGCCUACCAAGGCAGCGAUCAGUAGCCGACCUGAGAGGGUGAUCGGCCACAUUGGAACUGAGACACGGUCCAAACUCCUACGGGAGGCAGCAGUGGGGAAUAUUGCACAAUGGGCGAAAGCCUGAUGCAGCAACGCCGCGUGAAGGAUGAAGGCCUUUGGGUCGUAAACUUCUGUCCUUGGGGAAGAAAAAAAUGACGGUACCCCUGGAGGAAGUCCCGGCUAACUACGUGCCAGCAGCCGCGGUAAUACGUAGGGGGCGAGCGUUAUCCGGAAUUAUUGGGCGUAAAGAGUACGUAGGUGGUUUUUUAAGCGCAGGGUUUAAGGCGAUGGCUCAACUGUCGUUCGCCCUGUGAACUGGAAGACUUGAGUACAGGAGAGGAAAGCGGAAUUCCUAGUGUAGCGGUGAAAUGCAUAGAUAUUAGGAGGAACACCAGUGGCGAAGGCGGCUUUCUGGACUGUAACUGACACUGAGGUACGAAAGCGUGGGGAGCAAACAGGAUUAGAUACCCUGGUAGUCCACGCCGUAAACGAUGAGCACUAGGUGUCGGGGUCGCAAGAUCUCGGUGCCGCAGUUAACGCAUUAAGUGCUCCGCCUGGGGAGUACGCACGCAAGUGUGAAACUCAAAGGAAUUGACGGGGACCCGCACAAGCAGCGGAGCAUGUGGUUUAAUUCGAAGCAACGCGAAGAACCUUACCAGGACUUGACAUCCUCCUGACAGGCCCUUAAACGGGCCCUUCUUCGGACAGGAGAGACAGGUGGUGCAUGGUUGUCGUCAGCUCGUGUCGUGAGAUGUUGGGUUAAGUCCCGCAACGAGCGCAACCCUUGUCAUUAGUUGCUAACAUUAAGUUGAGGACUCUAAUGAGACUGCCGGGGACAACUCGGAGGAAGGUGGGGAUGACGUCAAAUCAUCAUGCCCCUUAUGUUCUGGGCUACACACGUGCUACAAUGGCCGGUACAACGAGAAGCGAAGUCGCAAGGCGGAGCAAAACUCAAAAACCGGUCCCAGUUCGGAUUGCAGGCUGAAACCCGCCUGCAUGAAGCCGGAGUUGCUAGUAAUCGCGAAUCAGAAUGUCGCGGUGAAUGCGUUCCCGGGUCUUGUACACACCGCCCGUCACACCAUGGAAGUUGGGGGCGCCCGAAGUUGGUCAGAUAAUAGAUUACCUAAGGCGAAAUCAAUGACUGGGGUGAAGUCGUAACAAGGUAACC
rnacentral:rRNA from 1 species